rnacentral:rRNA from 1 species
UACGUAGGGGGCAAGCGUUGUCCGGAUUUAUUGGGCGUAAAGAGCGUGUAGGCGGUCUGGUAGGUCCGUUGUGAAAACUCGAGGCUCAACCUCGAGACGCCGAUGGAAACCAUCAGACUAGAGUCCGGAAGAGGAGAGUGGAAUUCCUGGUGUAGCGGUGAAAUGCACAGAUAUCAGGAAGAACACCCGUGGCUAAGGCGGCUCUCUAGUACGGUACUGACGCUGAGACGCGAAAGCGUGGGGAGCGAACAGG